GUUCCCCGGUUGCGCUGUUUAAAAAUCAUACACUCGGUAUUUAUAUCAUUUAGUGAAAGUCAGUUGGAAAAAUGGAGUUUCGAGCGAACAAACGCAUUAAACUAAGGCAACACAAUGACUACUAGAUCUACGGACAGCCAGGAACCAGGACAAACAACAUCCGUACACACGGAAGAAGUCGAUGAGACGAGUACCGAAACUAAAGAACAUAGCGACACUGCACACGAGUACAAUUCACAAGAUGCAGCAGAAAAUAUGUUGAACAGUGAAUCAUCGGAUAUCGAUGAUAGUGACAAUGACAAAGACUAUAUUCCGGAAGAAGGCGAUGCAUCGUCAGAUGAGUCGAUAGUUGUCGAACUCAUACCAAACAUUCAAAGAUUUCAAAAG